UCCCUAUCACCUUCCUUACAUAUAUGAUUGCUUCCUUCCAAUCUGAGGUGGUCGUGGUCCCUAAUGCAUCAUUAGCUGAGGUUGUAGGAAAGUUCAUGAGUAGUCACUCUGUAGGACACACAUUCCACUUUAAUCUUUAACAUACACAUUUUGUCGGUGUGUAGGAGCUGCAAAGAGAAAGAUUGCAUAAAGCCAUAAAUAAGCCAUAAAUUUAAAAUAACUAAUUUUUGUUUAGGACGAACCUUCCUACCCUAUAGUACUCUGCAUAAAUCAUACACAUGAGACAAUGAUCAUUGUCAC
rnacentral:lncRNA from 1 species